rnacentral:rRNA from 1 species
GAUGAACGCUGGCGGCGUGCUUAAUACAUGUAAGUCGAACGAGGAGUUUUGCUUCGGUAAAUCUCCGAGUGGCGAACGGGUGAGUAACGCGUUGGUGACCUGCCCCGAAGAGGGGGAUAACGGCUCGAAAGGGCUGCUAAUACCCCAUGUGGUCGUAGAGGCUAGAGGCUUUACGUCUAAAGGAGUAAUCCACUUCGGGAUGGGCCUGCGUCCCAUCAGCUAGUUGGUAGGGUAAUGGCCUACCAAGGCGACGACGGGUAGGGGGCCUCAGAGGGUGACCCCCCACAUUGGCACUGAAACACGGGCCAAACACCUACGGGAGGCAG